rnacentral:rRNA from 1 species
CACGGAGUUAGCCGAUGCUUAUUCAUAUAGUACCGUCAUCAGAGUACACGUACUCCUUAUUCUCCCUAUAUAAAAGCAGUUUACAACCCAUAAGGCAUUCUUCCUGCACGCGGCAUGGCUGGUUCAGUCUUCCGACCAUUGACCAAUAUUCCUCACUGCUGCCUCCCGUAGGAGUCUGGUCCCUGUCUCAGUACCAGUCGUGGGGGAUCUCCCUCUCAGGACCCCUACUAUCGUAGCCUUGGGGUGCCGUUACCACUCCAACUAGCUAAUAGGACGCAUGCCAUCUCUACCGCUCAGCUUUAAUAUCAAACGAUGUACGUACAAGUAAUAUUAUGGGUAUUAAGUCCUAAAUUCUUCGGGCUACUCCCCCUAGUAAAAGGUAGUUA